rnacentral:rRNA from 1 species
AAAUUGAAGAGUUUGAUCAUGGCUCAGAUUGAACGCUGGCGGCAGGCCUAACACAUGCAAGUCGAACGGUAACAGGAAGCAGCUUGCUGCUUUGCUGACGAGUGGCGGACGGGUGAGUAAUGUCUGGGAAACUGCCUGAUGGAGGGGGAUAACUACUGGAAACGGUAGCUAAUACCGCAUAACGUCGCAAGACCAAAGAGGGGGACCUUCGGGCCUCUUGCCAUCGGAUGUGCCCAGAUGGGAUUAGCUAGUAGGUGGGGUAACGGCUCACCUAGGCGACGAUCCCUAGCUGGUCUGAGAGGAUGACCAGCCACACUGGAACUGAGACACGGUCCAGACUCCUACGGGAGGCAGCAGUGGGGAAUAUUGCACAAUGGGCGCAAGCCUGAUGCAGCCAUGCCGCGUGUAUGAAGAAGGCCUUCGGGUUGUAAAGUACUUUCAGCGGGGAGGAAGGGAGUAAAGUUAAUACCUUUACUCAUUGACGUUACCCGCAGAAGAAGCACCGGCUAACUCCGUGCCAGCAGCCGCGGUAAUACGGAGGGUGCAAGCGUUAAUCGGAAUUACUGGGCGUAAAGCGCACGCAGGCGGUUUGUUAAGUCAGAUGUGAAAUCCCCGGGCUCAACCUGGGAACUGCAUCUGAUACUGGCAAGCUUGAGUCUCGUAGAGGGGGGUAGAAUUCCAGGUGUAGCGGUGAAAUGCGUAGAGAUCUGGAGGAAUACCGGUGGCGAAGGCGGCCCCCUGGACGAAGACUGACGCUCAGGUGCGAAAGCGUGGGGAGCAAACAGGAUUAGAUACCCUGGUAGUCCACGCCGUAAACGAUGUCGACUUGGAGGUUGUGCCCUUGAGGCGUGGCUUCCGGAGCUAACGCGUUAAGUCGACCGCCUGGGGAGUACGGCCGCAAGGUUAAAACUCAAAUGAAUUGACGGGGGCCCGCACAAGCGGUGGAGCAUGUGGUUUAAUUCGAUGCAACGCGAAGAACCUUACCUGGUCUUGACAUCCACGGAAGUUUUCAGAGAUGAGAAUGUGCCUUCGGGAACCGUGAGACAGGUGCUGCAUGGCUGUCGUCAGCUCGUGUUGUGAAAUGUUGGGUUAAGUCCCGCAACGAGCGCAACCCUUAUCCUUUGUUGCCAGCGGUCCGGCCGGGAACUCAAAGGAGACUGCCAGUGAUAAACUGGAGGAAGGUGGGGAUGACGUCAAGUCAUCAUGGCCCUUACGACCAGGGCUACACACGUGCUACAAUGGCGCAUACAAAGAGAAGCGACCUCGCGAGAGCAAGCGGACCUCAUAAAGUGCGUCGUAGUCCGGAUUGGAGUCUGCAACUCGACUCCAUGAAGUCGGAAUCGCUAGUAAUCGUGGAUCAGAAUGCCACGGUGAAUACGUUCCCGGGCCUUGUACACACCGCCCGUCACACCAUGGGAGUGGGUUGCAAAAGAAGUAGGUAGCUUAACCUUCGGGAGGGCGCUUACCACUUUGUGAUUCAUGACUGGGGUGAAGUCGUAACAAGGUAACCGUAGGGGAACCUGCGGUUGGAUCACCUCCUUACCUUAAAGAA